UGACUGCUCACUGAAUAAUUUAAAGAGCCGCGGUAUUUUGACCGUGCAAAGGUMGCAUAAUCUUUAGUUUCUUAAUUAGAGACUGGAAUGAAUGGUUUGACGAGAAAUUAACUGUCUCUUAAUAAAUUUUAUAACUUAACUUUUAAGUUAAAAGGCUUAAAUUUUCCUUUAGGACGAGAAGACCCUAUAGAGCUUUACAUUUAAAUUUAAUAUUUUUUUUAUUAUAUUUUUAUAUAAGAUGUUUAUGUUUUGUUGGGGUGACAUGAAAAAUAAAUAAACUUUUCAUUAUUAAAUCAUUGGUUUAUGUUUUUUUGAUCCAUAAUUUAUGAUCAUAAGAUUAAGUUACCUUAGGGAUAACAGCGUAAUUGUUUUUGAGAGCUCUUAUCGACAAAGCAGAUGGCGACCUCGAUGUUGGAUUAAGAUUAAUUUUGGGUGUAGUAGCUCAAUAAUA
rnacentral:rRNA from 1 species